rnacentral:rRNA from 1 species
ACAUGCAAGUCGAACGCGGAAGAAAUUCUCUCGGGAUUUUUGAAGAGCGGCGAACGGGUGAGGAACACAUAAGAUCUACCUUUCGGUUGGGGAUAAACUUCCGGAAACGGGAGCUAAAUACCCAAUAUGCUGUGGAGUGAAAGAAUUUUCGCCGAAAAGACGAUCUUGCGUCUGAUUAGCUAGUUGGGGUGGUAAUGGCACACCAAGGCGACGAUCAGUAGCUGGUCUGAGAGGAUGGACAGCCACAUUGGGACUGAGACACGGCCCAGACUCC